GAGCCACCGCGCCCGGCCGAGUUAGUAAUUCUUGAAGGUGUGUCAGGUACAUUGGAUGCACUGUACUAUUCUGUCUACCUUUGUAUAUAUACUUUAAAGGUUUUUCCCCACAAUUUCUCUGGGAAACCUGAACCUUUCUUCCCCGUGUGUUUAGAAGGGAAGGUGAGGAGAGUCAAAGGCACAUGGAGCAUUAACAGUUGGAAUAAACGACAGAGACACGGAAACCUCCGAGGUUUCCAGAGCGGACCCGGAAAUGACGCCAGGGGAUGCAAACCCUUCUGCCCCUUUUUGCUACCCCUGAAGCUUACUGUUAGUGGUCGAGUUUUUCUGGAAGUGGGCUUCCGCGAUCGCGGGGACCAACGCCCUGAGCUCUUGUGCCCAAAGGGGAUCGCCAGGUUUUUUGAUGCGGAUCGAAAGGGACUGGCCCCGGAGCCUACAACCUGACGCAGGUGGACAAGGUGGAGGAGAGAGAAUUCCUUGGCAGUAGCAUUAUGAACAAAUGCAGGGCUGAGAAACAGCAUGGUGGCCUUGACUAAGUUUAUGGCGACAGCAGGCGAUGCCUCUUCAUGGGUGGUGGAUGAAGAAACUGAACAGGGCCAUGAUCCUUAUCUGUAAUUUCCCGGCUACCACACUGCUUUGGUGGUCUUCCCUCGUCUCUUCCUGGGUAGAAACAACUACCUGGAGAUCCCAAUGUUCUUGUCAGUGCACUUUUCAUGGACUGCAGUGGUAAGACGAUGUGUUGGAUGCCCAAACACAAACCAAGAGCCCUCUACCUUCGCAAUUCCCGGUGCUGUGGAGCUGUCAGAGUUUUAACAUCUCAACCAAGCCACAUGGAUACUAUUUCCUCAGAAAAGACAAAAUUGAUCCAAGCAGAAGAGUGAACUCACCGAAGAGGACUCUCUACCCAUAACUGGGGAUGCCUCAGCCACUCACACUUACUCCAAGAUUAGUGUCACUGAUUAUGGAAAGAAUUGACUUCUUCCCCUGGUCUUGCUCAUUUUUCUAGAGCCCAGGACAAUAAAUGUGUUUUACGGCAGAGAAAAGUGAAGACGGGUGGAAUUGUGUGUGUUGAGAGAGAAGCAGAUAGGCAAUCUUACGCUUUGGCUCCUAGAUUAUGCAGGUGCCUCUUUUCUAUCAUCUCCAUAAAUCCUACCCUUACUGCGCUUCCUAUUCUGCAGGGGUAUUUUGUUGUCCGUAACAGAACUCCUCCUCUGUCUGUAAAGUUUAGGUUUUGAUAAAAAAUCCUCUUCCCUCCAGAAGCGUCUACUAAAAAUACAAAAAAAUUAGCUGGGUGUGGUGGCAUCCACCUGUAGUCCCAGUUACUCAGGAGACUGAGGCAGGAGAAUCGCUUGAAACUGGGAGGCGGAGGUCGCAGUGAGCCAAGAUCAUGCCACCGCACUCCAGCCUGGGUGAGAGUGAUACUCCGUCUCAAAAAACAAAUGAACAAUAAAAAACAAACAAAAAAGAAAUAAAUGUCUAGGGCUAGGUGCCAUGGCUCAUGCCUAUAAUCCCAGCACUUAGGGAGACAUAGGUGGGCAGAUCACUUGAGGUCAGGAUUUCGAGACCAGCUGGACAACAUGGCAAAACCCUGUCUCUGUUAAAAAUACAAAAAUUAGCCAGGUUUGGUGGCCCACACCCAUUGGGAGGCUGAGGCAUGAAAGUCACUUGAACCUGUGGAACCUGGGAGGUGGAGGUUGCAGGGAGCCAAGAUCAUGCCACUGCAGGUGAGCCUGGGUGACAGAGCAAGACUCUGUCUCAAAAAAAAAAAAAAAAAAAAAAAAAAGAGAGAGAAAGAAAUAAGUGUCUAGAAUAUUUUAAAGGCUAUGGAAAUAAAGCAGGAAUAUUUUCAUGAAAGGCAGCUUAUAAAGGAUGAGGAUGGUUUUCUCUUUAGGGUAAAGGAACUAAUAUUUAUUAAGCACUUACUAUUUAUCAGGCAGUAUGUGACAUACAAUGUAUGUGGGAGUGUGUGUGUGUCUUUCCUCACAAUUAUUUUAUAGAGUAGGGGUUAGUACAAUGAAGAUGUUGUAGCUUAGAGAGAGGAAGUGGCAAAACCAGAAUUGGAAAACAAGACUGUUGGGCUCCAAGGUCCAUGCACUUUUCCCCUUUAAAGGUCUUAGGUAAAGAGUAGACCCAUUUGGAUAGGCCCAAACUAACAGUCUAUCUCCAGAGUCCUUGUCCUAAAUUCUUUACCCCACUGCCUUCUGAGAGGAAGUUCAUCUUUUUACCAGGGAGUAGCCACCUUCAGAAGAAUUCUCCUGUCUAUAUAACCAAAUUAAUAGAAUCCUGGUAAAUCAACUGGAAUGUUAACUGUUCUGAUUUUCAACUGUUUUUACCUUCAUCAUUAAUACUGAAUAUGGACUGUAGGUUGGAUAACUGCUGUUCAAGGUAAGGAACUCUGAGCAGCAGCCUUGAGCUACCAAGGCAUUAAAUAGGAUUUUUGCUUAAAAAUCCUAUAUUUUUGCUUAAAAAUAUUAAAAAUAUGACUGAGUAUAUGUAUAUAUUCCCCCCACAUUCCAAAGAUAAACACUGUUAAGCAUGUAAAGCACAUUUUACUGUAUAUAUAUGGGUGGCAUAUGUGUGUGAGUGUGUGUGUGUAUACAUAUAUACACAUACACUUCUAGACAUUUAUAUACAUGUGUUGUGUGUAUAUGUUGUGUAUGUUUUUAAAAAGGGAUUGUCUUUGGCUGGGCACAGUGGCUCACGCCUGUAAUCCCAGCACUCUGGGAGGCUGAGGCAGGAGGAUUCCUUGAGCUCAGGGUUUUAAGAGCAGCCUGGCCAACAUGGCAAAACCCCAUCUCUACUAAAAAUACAAAAAUUAAAAAAAAGAAAUUUAUCUGGAUGUGGUGGCGCCACCUGUAAUCUCAGCUACUUGGGAGGCUGAGGCAGGAGAAUCGCUUGAAGCUGGGAGGCAGAGGUUGCAGUAAGCUGAGAUUGCUCCACUGCAUUCCAGCCUGGGUGACAGAGUGAGACCCCAUCUCAAAAAACAAAGUUGGGGCAGGGGGGGAUUUGCUAUCCUAUUAAAAAUUUUUGGAUCUUUUUUUUUAAAAACUUAAUGCUAUUUCUUGAACACCUUUACUUAAAGAAAAUAGAUAGCUAAAUAUUGCAGUGUGAAGAAAAAGGUCAAUAAAUAUUUGUUGAAUUAAUGUAACAUUUCCUUUGAUCACCAGCUGCUUCUAAUUCCCUACUUCAGGUAUUGUUGAAUACUACAUUGCUUUAGGCAAAAAGUGUUUUAUUUCUCACUGGAUCAAAAACAAUUAAGGAUGUCAUUUUCUCUUCUUCCUUUGAGUUCCAAUAAAUCUACAUUUGUUCUUGUUCCCUUGUUUAGAGGUGCAAUGGAAAAGAAGUUUGCAGAUUGUACUCCUGCCUGGUUGGAUAAACUCAUUUGAAAAUAAGCUCCUGUUUUGUGCAGAUGCAAAUUUAAAUGUGCUAUUUGUAACUAAUCACUGAUAAAAUAGAGAUUUCCAAAAUAUAUUGAGAAAAAGAGCUGCAGAAUAAUUUGCAAGUUUCAUAAAAUCAGGAAGAAUGCAUUUAAAAACUAAAGUAAGCUAGGAAGGAUGGCUCAUGCCAGUAAUCCUAGCACUUUUGGUGACUGAGGUGGGAGGAUCACUUGAGCCCAGGAGUUUAAGGCCAGCCUGUGCAACAUAGAUCUCAUCUCUACAAAAAAAUUAAAAAAUUAGCUAGAUAUGGUGGCAUAUACCUAUAGUUCCAGCUACUCAGGAGGCAGAGAUGGGAGGAUCACUUGAGCCUAGGAGGCUGAACCUGCAGUGAGUCAUGAUUGCACCACUGCAUUCUAGCUUGGAUGACACAGUGAGACCCUGUCUCAAAAUAAACAAAACAAAACAAAAAAGAAAAGAAAAACUAUGGUAGAAGUGGUAGGGGGAAUUGAGGGAAUGGGGGAAAGGAAAGGCCAAAGACUUUUUCUAUGCCUUUUAAUACUUUCUCAUUUUUGAACCAUCUGAAUAUAUAUGACUUGGGCAAAAAAAAUUUAAGCAAAAAAUAUUGCAUCUGUUUCUUUCAUUGUAACUAUGCUAAGUUUGGUGAAAAUUGUUCUUUAUUUUUAAAUUUUGUUUUCUCUUACACUAAACUAUUGUGAUGGUUAAUUUUAUGUGUUAAUUAGACUGGGCCAUGAUAUGCCCAGAUAUUUGGUCAAUCAAUAUUCUGAGUGUUCUGUGAGUGUAUUUUUGGAUGAGUUUGACUUAUUAAUAUUAUUGUUAAUAUUAUUUUUUAGACAGGGUCUCUCUCUCUGUCACCCAGGCUGGAGUGCAGUGGUACAAUCUUCGCUCACUGCAGCCUCAACCUCCUGGGCUCAAGUGAUCUUCUCACCUCAGCCUCCUGAGUAGCUGGGACUACAGGCAUGUGCUACCACACCUGGCCAAUUUUUCUAUUUUUUGUAGAGACAGGGUUUCACCAUGUUGCCCAAGCAGGUCUUGAACUCCUGGUCUCAAGCAAUCCCUCUACCUCUACUUUCCAAAGUGCUGGAAUUACAGGUGUAAGCCACCAUGCCUGGCUGAGUUUAACAUUUUUAAAUUUAAAUUUAAAUUUUUAUUUUUAUUUUUUUGAGACAGAGUUUCACUCUUGUUGCCCUGGCUGGAGUACAAUGGUGCAAUCUCGGCUCACCACAACGUCUGCCUCCAGGUUCAAGCGAUUCUCCUGCCUCAGCCUCCCAAGUAGCUGGGAUUACAGGCACCUGCCACCAGGCCCAGUUAAUUUUUGUAUUUUUAGUGGAGAUUGGGUUUCACCAUGUUGGCUAGGCUGGUCUCGAACUCCUGACCUCAGGUGAUCCACCUGCCUCAGCCUCCCAAAGUGUUGGGAUUACAGACAUGAGCCACCACGCCCGGCCUUAAAUUUUUAUUUAUAUUUUGAGGGGGUCUCAUUGUGUUGCCCAGACUGGAGUGCAAUGGCACGAUCAUGGCUCACUGCAAUCUCCACCUCCUAAGCUUGAUUCUCCUGCCUCUGCCUCCUGAGUAGCUGGAACCACAGGUCUGCA
rnacentral:lncRNA from 10 species